rnacentral:lncRNA from 1 species
AGACCCACGUCUGUCUGUUCCGCCCCUGCUGCCAGGGUGGCUUUCAGUGGUCCUCUCUUUCGGAGAGUUCCCCCCAAGCGUGAGCACCCCUUACAGGGGCGUUAGGUCCGCGGCCGCGCUGUCCAGUGGUCUGACCUGCAGCUCCCAGGGCCUUUGUGUCUGUCCCUCGCAUGGGCCUCUGCACGCUCCGUCCCCACGCGACAGGACUCGAGUCCGAUUCGGGGCUCCGACUCAGACCCUACCCCGCAGCGCCCUCCUGCAAAUGCUCUCCUGAACUUUGGUUUUCCCCGCCUUGCUUUCUUCCUCCUCCUGUAGCCGCUGCCUCUCGAUCUCAGAAGCUUCUCUUCCUCUGCACUCAGUGCUAGGCCAGAUCCCAAGGCGACCUGACCUUUCCCCUGGCUUUGCCCAACAACACAGGCACCGGUGACUCCAAACCUGCAUCUCCCCUACGUUCCAGGCCCCAGCAUCCCACUGCAUGUUCCACAUCCCCCCCCCUUAGACAGCUCGCCUUCCCUCCCCAAACGAUUCCUUCCACAGUCUUCACUUUCUCAGAACGCGGCGCUAAACUUCUCUAAGUUGGAAGGUCAAAAACCUUGCAGCUAACUUUGAUUCCUCCCUUUGCCUCACCUCCAAUCCAUCAAGACCUUGUCACUCAGCCCACAAGCUGAAGGCCCCAUCUCCUGUCACCCAGACUACUCACCUUGUUUGGUUUUGCCUGGAUCUAUCAGUUUGGUUUUGCCUGGAUUUAUCAUGCUUUAAAUCUUUAAAAUGAAAUUAAAUCAUGAUCCCCUACAUCCAGGCUAAAACCCUCCGUGAAUUCCCAUUGCACCUAAAAUCCACACUCCCUGCUUGGCCUAGCAGGUUCUAUAUGACCUGCCCAUCUCACCAGUUUCAUCUCUCACAAGUGAUCCUUCACUCUCCAUUCUCCAGCCACAAGGCCUUUUUCUGGUUAUGGAAUAUAAUUCAUACUCUUUGUCUUUCUGAAGCCAUUCUUGAAACUCACCCCUGCAAUCUAUCUACCCUUGUCAGCACCGCCAAAAUUGAGGACACCCACGGUCGCGGUGGAGCCUGUCUGACAUGUUGAGCCAGGCAGUGGGUCGGCUGCCAGGCACAGCAGGACAACUUACUGCAUUUCAGAGGAAUGAUGGUCCACAAUUUACUGAUGAGGAAACAGAGAUUCAGAGAAGUUCUACAAUUUGCCCCAAAGCCACAUAACAUGACUAGGUGGGAACUAGAACCCAAGUCGGCCUGACUCCAUGAGUUUUCUGCCUCACAGGAGAUCCACUGGCUUAGCAGCAUCCCAGGCCUCAGGUGCCUCCUUCCACCAAAGGAGGUGCAGGAAAAACAGGGCAUGCAGAGGGUGUGGUCUGUGUGGGCUUCCCCCAGCUCAGCAUAUAUAUGGGUGCGUGGGUGUGAAUGGCAAUACGUGCAGCUGCGCUGUCUGGGAGGAGCAGCCCAGCACCCACACAAGCACACGCCUGUGACGUCACCCAUGCUAGCCCUGCUCAGGCCUAUUUCUGUGAACAUGCAUGCUUCAGCAUGCCCUGGCCUACACUGUACCUGUGCCCAUGCCCAGAGUCUGGGGAGAGUCCCAGCCCAACUGCCCCUCGGGACCUGUGGGUUUGGCCUCACAGCUGUUUAUUAAAUGACCACUUAGAACAGUGGUUGACAUAUAGUAAACACUAUGGAACUGCUUUAUCCACAUUGUCUCAUUUCUUCCUCAUUACAGCCCUAUAAGUGCUCUUAUUAUCCCCAUUUUCCAGAUGAAAAAACUGAGGCACAGAGCUAAAAGGCAGGAUUCAAACCCAGGUAGUCUGGCCCCAGAGUCAGUGCUGUUUUGCUUCCCAUGUAUGUAUGAACACUUUAUUGUAUAUCCUCUCUCCUUUGUAAAAUACCCCUACCUGAUAUGUUUUCUCUCUUUUUUUUUUUUUUUUUUUGAGACAGAGUUUCUCUCUCGUCGCCCAGGCUGGCGUGCAAUGGCACAAUCUUGGCUCACUGCAAUCUCCGCCUCCCGAGUUCAAGCAGUCCUGCCUCAGCCUCCUGAGUCUCUUUUGAUUUGGUGCUGUCACAGGUUGGGUUCUUUGGAUGUGGACUCUGUGACAGGUUAGUGUGCAGUAUGUUUAUUGGGGAGUGGCCCUGGGAUCAACACUCUGGGAGGUACUGGAAAGAAACAGGAGUGGGCACAGGGAAAACUAAACUGAGAUGCAGGCCUGAUGACAGUCUCAGCCAACUCCCAGGAUCUCUGUUGUCUGGCACUAGCCUGGAAAGGAGUUGUAAUGUCCUGGGAAGAGCCUAGCCUGGGCCAGAUGGCACUCUGCAGCCAAGAUGAUCUUCGAGGGGCUGACAGCUGAAGAUUUUCUGCUGACAGCUCUCCCAAUAGUUGGGUCAACAAGUCCUUCUUUGAAGGGGAUCUGGGUGGCACGUUGCUAUGUCUACCACAAGUGUAUUCUUUUUCAGCCCUUUAAAAAUGUUUUGAGUACUUAAAAAUAGAGAAUAAAAUAUAGAAAUAGGAGAUGAGAUUAUAAGGAGGAGGACGAUAAUAUGGUUUAUGGGUUAAUGUAGCUGAUGUGAUUGAGAAUUAAACAUGGCUGAGCUUCCUGAUAGCCAAAACAAUAACACUUUCUAUUCUGUUAACUGGUUCUUUGGAGUAAAAAAAAUUUCUGGGGUUAAAUUAUAAAAGAAGUUUCUCACCUGGAUACUUAUUUAGUUGAAAUAGUGGAGAAUGUUCUCAACUGGUUAAUAGCAAAUGCUGAUGCCGUUUUCAUUUGUUCCUUGUAAUGGCCUUGAGUGAAUAUCGAGGGCAUAAUAUACAAGUAUAGCUCAGUGAAGCCCUUUUCACAUUAGAAGGGUGCAGAUUUAUAGUCUUGCAGUGUCUAAUUUGAUCCAUGUGUAAAACAUUGUCCUUUUUCUUUAAACCAUUUUUUUUUUUUUUUUUUUUUACUCUUGUCGUCCUGGCUGAAGUGCAGUGGCGCAAUCUCGGUUCACUGCAACCUCUGCCUCCCGGGUUCAAGCAAGUCUCCUGCCUCAGCCUCCUGAGUAGCUGGGAUUACAGGCGCGUGCCACCAUGCCCAGCUAAUUGUUUGUAUUUUUAGUAGAGACGGGGGUUUCAUCAUGAUGGCCAGGUUGGUCUCGAACUCCUGACCUCAGGGGAUCCACCCACUGCAGCCUCCCAAAGUGCAGGGAUUACAGGCGUGAGCCACUGCACCUGGCCUAAACCAUUCUUUAAUUUUUACUCAGUUUCUCGUGUUAGACAUCUGAACAGCCCCUCCUCUGGGUUUGUGAGCCAGCCUGCACCUCAGCACACAGCCAGUACUACUUGCGCAAAAUCACACCUGGCUCGGCUGCUCCCAGGGACUGCUGUCUCCAUUGACCUUGGUGUAUCUCUGCUGAUUGGCCCCCAUAGUGGGACCCAGAUGUUGAGGUUCUCCAGCUGGGCUGCAGAUGUAUCUUCUUCUGAAAGGUGGCAGGGACACUGUGACUGCAUCACUGAGGCAACAUAUGGCAAUAAAGGAAGAGAAGGGGAAAGCCCAGGCCAGGGCAGACCUGCACUUUUCUGUUUUUCUCUCUCCUCCUUGCAACACGCUUCACGGAUGCAUCCUCUAGAGCACUAAGACAGCACAGCUGAGUCAGAACAAGUUCCCACUCCAGCAGUGGGUACAGAAAUGCCAACAGACCAUGACAAUUCAGUGUGAUGGGGGCCAUUGGAGCACUGAGAAGGGACACUUGGCUUUACUGAAACCUGUUAGUGUCUGUGGAGAUAGAGCAAAGUGAGAGACUGUAUAUGCCUGAAAGAGAUGGCCACUCCAGAUACAAGGCAAACACUCAUUUUCAUCAUAGGGUCACUCCAAGUUGUUUUGUGGGUUGUUUUUUUUUUGCAACUAAAAUAUAAACUUUUUAGAGAUGCAAAUGUCCACAUAUAAUAGUUUAUUUAGCUACAGGUACAUACUUUAAAUCACAUAUUUAAAACAAUAUAUUGAUUCACGAACAUUGAUUUUCCCCACACUCACAUUUUCAGUAAACUAUAUUCAACUCUUCACAUGAAUCUUGGAUUUCUGUAUUUUCACCAUGAGUCGCUUUUUGAGUCAUCUAAUAGAAUCUCUCAAAGCAUAUCAUCACUUUCCCUCCCUUCUAAGUUGAGAGAGAGAGCAAACAACUUUUUUUUUUUUUUGAGACGGAGUUUCGCUCUUGUUGCCCAGGCUGGAGUGCAAUGGU